CCCUUAGAUGUUCUGGGCCGCACGCGCGCUACACUGAUGCAUUCAACGAGUCUAAAACCUGCUCUGAUAGGGGUGGGUAAUCUUUUGAAUGUGCAUCGUGAUUGGGAUAGAUGAUUGCAAUUUUUCAUCUUCAACGAGGAAUGCCUAGUAAACGCAAGUCAUCAGCUUGCAUUGAUUACGUCCCCGCCCUUUGUACACACCGCCCGUCGCUCCUACCGAUUGAAUGAUCCGAUGAAUAUCAUGGAUUGAGGAUGCAAGUAGGUUAGCCUAUCUUCAUCUUCGAGAAGUGAAGUAAAUCUUAUCAUUUAGAGGAAGGAGAAGUCGUAACA
rnacentral:rRNA from 1 species